rnacentral:lncRNA from 1 species
UAAAAUUUGCAACUGAAUUUUCAGAUCAGUAAUAAAUAUUCCAAAAAUUAGUAAAAAUAAAAUAAAAAUGGAAUUAGGGGGAAAAAAAAACAGAAACCAAAGAGCGAAUUUGCCCGAUUUAAGACAAAUUCCAAAGCAACCCAUGUGCAUUUUGAACAGCUAGUACAGUUUUGGCUCGUGAAAACAAAAUAUUCUACCCGAAACCCUAAUUACGAAACCAAAGAAACUUCAACAAAAACUGGGUCGCUUUACACAAAACAUAAAAUUACAACCCUAACCAUGAAAUUGAACCAAACAAACCCUAGAAUCAACAUUUCCGCCAAACCAAACAAAACCAACCCAACACAUUGGGGAAAAACAGACCUUUCUUUGGGCGCUUGGGCGGCGACACUAGCUGCAUUCUGCAGAAAGGCUUCACCUUUCGGCAGGUGAUGCGGCUGCGUCUGCGGCUGCGGCUGCGGCUGCGUCUGCGUCUGCGGCUGAGGCUGGGGGAGGGGGUACAGGAAGUUGAGGUCUUCCGGCGGUGGGCGGUGGUGCUGAAGGGCAAAAUGGGAAGGGAUUUGGGGGUGGGGACUGAGGAAUUGGGGGUGUUGCUGGAGGGCAAAAUGGUCUUUUGGGGGAAGGGGCUGAGGGUGAGACCGGAGCAGGAAACUGAUCUGGUCUCUGAUGAAGACAGCCUUAUGGGACAGGUCGAGCCCUAGUUUGGCUUCCAGCUGCUUAACGAUGCCGUUUAAGGAGGUGAAUGAGUUGGGCUCAGACUGACGGAGCAGUGUCUCCACACCUUUCGCGAUAUCUUGAUCCGACACCAUAGCUUCACCUUCAUAUAUUAACCGAAAAAACGGACUCUCCAACGGUUCUCUCCCUUCUCUCUGUCUCUCUCCACUGCACUCUCUCUCUUUCACCUCUCUUCUCCCUUUCUCUCUCACUCUUUAUAAUCCUGAAAUGACGAAAUUGCCCCACCAUCGGUUUAAACUCUCUUUGCUUUAAAGUACUGUAUUACCCUCAUGAAUCGUUGGAUCUGAUGAAGAGGAGGAGGUCAUUAAAGUAAUUUCCAAAAAGUUACAGGUAGUAUCUCUUUUUUAAAAUAAAGAUAAAGAUGACAGAUAAAGAAAAAGUGACGAACCGAAAUGGAACGUUCCUAUCUUUUGCGGCAGAUUUAAAAGUGCUUCCAAAUUACCUUUCUACCCUCACUGGUCAUCCGUUCGGGGCUUGCAUUAUGGGGAUAGUGGUGACAUUUUGGUCAAGUUGGAAUAGAUAGUCUGGACCGUUGGUUGGGGAUACAAGUGAGUUUGGUCAACAACUUGGAAGUGGUGUGUGUGUUUGAGAAAUGAGAAGUCGCUUGAUCCAACGGCUGAGAAUGGAGUUCUGUGGAUUGGGAGUUUAGAAAAGCAUGCCCCAUGAAGUUUGGUGUAUGUCCUCACCAAUCUUGCCUCUUUGCUUUGAUUCUCACAGCUCUGAAUGAGCUAAGCUGAAAAUGAGUGGUGGAUUAUUCAAUUUGAAUUAAAUUUUUCCUUAAUUCAAAGUUUUGCUUGUGUAAAAACUAAAAAGAUCUUAGAAGGCAUUAAAUAAUAAUAUCCUAUGAUAUUAAAAGGUAGGGUUAUCUGGUCAUUAAAUUCUUCCUUUAUAUGUUUGAUUUUUAUCAUAAUUUCUUUAAUUUUUUUACUCUCUUAGAGCAAUAAAAAAUAGUAACUAUUUUUAACAUUAAAUGAAAAAAAAAAUAGAAAACAUAUCUGAUAAACAUAUUUUUCAAUAGGUAUUUAAAAAAAAAUGAGAAUUAUAAAAAAUGAUAGACUAAAAGUGAUAAUGAUAAAAAAGGAUCACUUCUUAUUAUAAGACAGUUUUAAUAUUUGAAUGUGAUUUUUUAUAUUAUUCAUCUACAAUUUUAUCUUAUUGGACAACAACUUUAUCUUACUGAUAAGGACUAUUAAUUACGUGCAUACCUUAUUUCCUAAAAACGAUGGCACAUGUUGAUGAGAUUAGUUUCUAAAAUAAAAGUCAAAGAUAAUAGAUAAAUCUUUUUUAUUUUAUGGUGAAAACAAUUUAAUAAAUUGUGUAUUAUUAAUAUAGUGUAUUAUUUUAUAUUAAUAUUAUGAAUUAUUUUUCACGGAGACAUCAAUUUAGUAUAUUAGUAAAGAAUGAUUUAAUAAACUUUUCAUCACUCUUUUGCUUAUGAGGGGUUGAAAAAAGGUUUAAAAAAAAGAAAAAGAAAAAUAAAUAAAAUACACAUAUAUAAUCAAGAAAAAUAGGUAAAAGAAAAAAUAGUAAUAAAUUAAAAUAAAAUAAUUAUAUUUUUAUUUUAUUAUAAGAAUUAAGUUAUUUAUAAUAUAUAUAUAUAUUUUGUAUUGCUCGUGACCAAGUAAAAACUUUGUUAUCCUAAUAGAAUAUACAAUUAUUUUUUUUUACGAGUAAUUCAAUUGUAUAACGCUCAACUAUUCACUUGGUAGUAUAGCAUAUGCAAAAUAAUAAUAAUAAUAAUAAAUUAAUUUAAGUUAUGUCACAAUAUAUUGUAAUAUUGAUGUAUUUAUAUUAUAAGUAUAAUAUAUUUAUGUUGUACAUAUAUUUUAUGACAAAAUCAAUAAUUUUAUAAAUAUCUAUUUAUAUGCAUUAGUAUUAAUACAUCAAACCAGUAUAUUAACAUUAUUCACUCCAUGUAUCCAAAUUGUUUAUUCAUUUUUAUAUAUGUAAACAAAAAAAAAUAGUAUAAGUAUAUUAGGGAAUAUAGUAUUAUCAUACUAUAAAAUAAAAAAUUAUAUAAUUUUUUUUAUUUUAUUAUACGAAAUUAUUUUUUUUGAAAUAUAUUUUUUUUCAAAUUUUGAGAUUUUUAGAAGAUCGAUAAAAAAAUUAAUUUUCAAUAUAUCUUAAAUAAAAACCACAACAUAAAGUUAUUAUAUUGUUUUAUAUAUGUAACAUAUAAUAAAAAACUUUGUCACCUAAUAAAAUGAACAAUUAUUUUAUACGAGCACCCAUCAAUAAAAUAACAUACAACUAUUCAUUUAGCAAUAUAGCAUGUAAAAUUUUUUAAAAUAAAUAAAUUAUAUUAUAUUAUAAUAUGUUGUACUAUUAAUAUAUUUAUAUUGUAAAUAUAAUACAUUUAUAAUGUACUUAUACCUUAUGACAAAAGCAAAAAUUAUAGAAAUGUUUGUUUAUACUUUAUUGACAUUGAUAUUAACACAUCAUAUCAAUACAUUAAUAUCAUUCACUUAAUGCAUUGAAAUUGUUUAAUAAUUUUCGUAUAUAUAUAUAAAACUACAAGCCUCGUAAAUUGAAAUUAUUACUUCAUUUGAUUUUAAAAAUGAUUCAUAAUAUAAGUAUGUUAUAGGUCAUAGUAUGAUCAUACAUAAUUAUUACUUUUGUAAAAAAAAUUUAAAAAUUUUAUAUUUAGAUUUUAUUAUAAUGUAAAUAUAUUUAUAAUAUAUUUUUGUUGUACUCGUAUGUAUUAACAUUGUCCACUAGAUGUAUUGAAAAAAAAAGUUAUAUACAAAAAUUAAGGAAAAAACACUAGUGCAAAGGAAAAAAUAUAGAAAAAUCAUAUAAUUUUUUUUAAAUGUUUUAUUGUUAAAAAAUGAUUAAAUAUUUUUCAUGAUUAUUAUGAAAAAUUAAUCAUUAUAAGUUAUUAAAACUCAAUACAAAAACAUGAUUUACCAAUUUAAAAUAAAUAUAUAUAUAUAUAUAUAUAUAUAUAUAUAUAUAUAUAUAUAUAUGAAAAAUUCAUCAUUCUUAUUAUUACGUAACUAUGAAACUUAUUUUGUUUUUAAUGAAAUUUAAAAUUAGAAUAAAAAUAAAAAUAUGUUAAUAUUUUUUUUUAAAGCUUUUAGUUGAAUGAUAUUUAUGAUAUUUUAGCAUCUUAUUGUAUCAAAUGGAGUUACGAAAACAGUAUUGCCCAAAAAUUAUGAUAAAAAAAUCAUUAUCAGAUCCACCUCACCCAAUGCUGUAAUUCUCUCUUUAAAAAAUUGGUUUUUAUAGUUUAAAAUAUAAGAAUUUUAAUAAUUAAAAAUAUGAUAAGAAACAAUUGUUUCAUUAUUUAUAUUUUCAAAAUUGAAAAUACUUCCCAAGAAAAAAUUAUUAUUUCAGUGGCUGACAUGGCAUGGUUCAUGAAUGCCACGUAGGUGGGCACCAAAUCAAAGGUCAAAUAUAUAUAACAAAGAAGCGCCUUGAAGAAGAGGGAGAAGCAAAAAUGGCGCAGCUUCUUACCCUACGCCCUCCAAUCACAGCCUUUCGAUCUGCGCCAUCCACGCGCACUGAUUCAGCUGUUUUAUCGUGUUGCCCUAAAACCCUAAACCCCAAAUGGGCCUUUCUGCAGCAGAAGCUCAAGUGCAAUGGCAGAUUUUCUUGCCUUUUCUCAAACAAUCGCAAGCAGGUACCCGUGUUUUCUUCAUUCUUUUCAAUUCCAACUUUCAUUUUAUUUUGUUGGUUUUUACACUUGGGAACUUUCUGGGCGUUGAUUUUUCGUUGUUUUUGGGUGGAGAUUUCCGGGUUUGUUAUUGUUUGUUGGGGAUUGAGGAAGUUUCUAUAAAACCCUUUAUGCCAAUUCACAGUUUCUUUAAGAAAAUCAAAUAUAUUUUUCCUUCUUUGUGGGUUGAAUGAGCUCCUAUCAAUUUAUUAAUUUUCUUUGUGCUUACGUUGUGGUUCUAAUUUAUGAUCAAUAACUCUAGUUGGGGAUUUAAUGGGGAGUAAGAGAAUAGUUGAAGUAAAAUGAAUGUUGUUGAGAAUUGGGUGCUUAGGUGUUUGGCUAACAGGCACAAUUCCAAAACAUAAUACUAACUUAUAGCAUAAAGGGAUAGAUUAGCCUAUAUCAGACUUCAAAUGAGCUUCUAGGUUCUUCCCAGUUUACUUCAUAACUCACUGCCCUCUAACUCGAGAAGCAUUUGAAAAAGAAUGCAACAUUGGGAAAUUUGCACAUCUGAUUAUAGGGAAGUAUAAUUUGGCAUGCCACCCAGAAGUUGCUAAUAAUUGAACUGGAGGUUCCUUCAGUGGGAGAUAUGGUAUUUAGCAGCAGGCAGUUUCAUGUACAAUCUUCAACUAUACUAUGGAUUCAAUGAUAGAGAAAGUGUGAAGGAACAGAUUUUGAGAAUGUAGUCUGGUUUUUUUAAAAGGCAAAAUAAAAGAGUAUUUAUAAAAAGGAGGCACCAAAUGAGCAUCCCAAAGUAUACACGAAAUAUACAUAGGUUGCCAAAAGGCAAAACCAAGAGAAAAGAGGGGCUACAAAAAACAAUAUCUGCCCUCACUGAGAACUCAACCAAUUGAACUAGAGGAGAUUUGCAUAUCUGAUUUUGGGGAAGUAGGUUUUGAAGUGGCACCCGCAAGUUCCUGUUAAUUGAACUGAAGAAACAGAUUUUGAGAACAUAGUCUUUUUUUUUUUAAAGGCAAAAUAAAAGGGUAUAUAUAAAAAGGAGGCAUCAAAUGAGGAUCCCAAAGUAUAUAGGAAGUAGACACCAAUCGCCAAAAGGUAGAACCUAGAGAAAAGGGGCUACGAAAAACAACACCCACCCUUCACUGAGAACUCAACCAAUCAAUAAAGCUGAGUUAAGGAACCACAAAUUACAAAUAUAAGAGUUUUUCAGCCUUUGGUUCGAUAGCUCCAAAGGAAUUGAGCUGGUCUGAGAAAGACUUGUUUAAUGAUAAGUUUUAUGUUUGUUAAGUCUGAAACUUUCUAACGUGUUCUUCCUAGAGGCACAUUCACAUUGAGCCUUGGUGGGGAAUGGGAGUGGUGUAGGAAUAGGAAUAGAGUUGAAUCGCAAUGCCAUGUGGAAGAAAGGAAUCAAAAUACCCACAAGAGUUUUGGUUUGUCCUAUUCCCAUUUUAGUAAGUAAUUUGAAUGCAAUAAUGAAUGGGAAAUAUUAAUUUCCCAUUCUCAUUCCCUACUCCAUUGUUCCAGCCAUGCCCUGAAUAAUAUGCUUGAGAUCCUUCCCAAGGUUUGUCUUGUUUAAGAGAUAGGGAUCAGUGGUAUUUUUAGAAAAGGUUUAAUGAGGAAUAAUAGAGGCAAAAGACAGUGAAGUAUCUCCUUUUGCUGGUGGAUAGAAUGUGAUACCUUUACCUAGGAGCCAUGGAAGAAGGGUGUGGGCUUACAACAAUAUAUUGUGUUUGAUAGAAAUGAAUGGUGAAGAAGGUUUGCAAGGCUAAGUCUAAAUAGUGGGAUUAGGCUUUGUUAAGUUUUGUUGUAGAAAUACAAGGAAAUUAAGAGGCCCUGCUGGAAGUUCUUAUUUAUGUUUAUGUGCCUUUCAUUCCACUAGGACAUAUUCCUAAUGUACCAUGUUCCUUAUAUAUAUAGAUAGAUAGAUAGAUAGUUUAUUCACUUAAUCCAUACAAGGAGGGAGGGAGGGAGGGAGGAGGAAGAAAAGUAAAAAGAGAGACUUGUGUUGGUGUCUAUUGGAUUUAAAGUGUAAAAUUUGAUACAAAGGUUUGGUUUUCUUGUUUUCUUUUUUACUUGAUUUAUUUUGUGUCUCUGGCUGCAGGAAGAAGCAAGGAAAGCACUAGAAAGUGCACUUGGGGGAAAGAAAGAUGAAUUUGAAAAAUGGAACAAAGAAAUUAAGAAGAGAGAGGAGGUGGGGGGAGGCGGUGAGGCUGGUGGAGGAGGUUGGUUUGGAUGGGGUGGACGUUUUGGUUGGUCCAAUGAUGAUCAUUUCUGGCAAGAGGCACAACAAGCAAGCCUUGCCAUCUUGGGUAUCAUUAUCAUGGUAAGCAGUUUCUAUUUUCCAUUUCUUAGCUUGUAUGUUGGUUCUCCUGUGGAUAAUUUUAGUCCCUCUCUUUUGGGCAACAGUAUCUCAUAAUUGCAAAAGGCGAAGUGUUGCUUGCUGUCAUCUUCAAUCCAUUGCUGUUUGCUUUGCGAGGAACGAGAAAUGGGUUUAACUUCAUAAUCUCGCGUAUACUGCAGAAGGUAUCUCCAGCUACUCAUACAGGGCUUGAUAAUAUGCCAAAAAAGGAAGUCUAUACUCCUGUCUCUGCCAAAGAGAGUGUAGUUAGAAAAUGGGGAGGGGAAUAAUAAUUUGUUCCAGGUUCCAACAUCACUUCUGGUCAUGUGUUGUCACUGGGGCGGUUAUCAUUUGCAGCGAGUUUUGUAGUUGAAUGCAGAAUUUGUAGAACACGUCCAUUUCUCUUCUGAAAGUCAAAUAGCUUUCUCAUGUUUAGCUUGGAGGAAAUGCCUUAUGCCUUACCUUAGAUGGGUUCAACCCAAUUUUCAAAUCAGAACCAUUCAAUCACUUGAAUAUGAGAUAUGGUGCAGUUUUGUGAUCCUGUAUAAACUGAAUUAAUUAAAAUUUUGUUUUUCUAUUAUUUGAAUCAAUUCAUUGUGUAUAAUGUAACAGUUGAACAACACACAGAUCGAUAAACUAAUAUUUUAUAUGAUGGGUAGAACUGGAAUCUGGGUGGUUAUGGAUAUCCCAGAUUGCUUUCAUGUGAAGCAUGUACCAUGAACUUGUUUCAAAUCCAACAAAAGAACAUUAUAGAUAGGUUGAUUUCCAUGUAUGCAUAUUAUGCAUGUAUUGAACUAAGGUUAUCUUAGAUUACAGUCUUUCAGUUGGGUAAUCAUUUCAAACUAAUAGGCUUUUGUAUAUCAUUUUCUACUGACUAGUGGUGACAGGUAUAGAAUUUUAGCUGGGAAGUCAUUUCAAACUUAGGAUCCGUGCACUCAAAAGAUGAGGAAGUUGAAUUGAACAAAUUCAUUUCAUAUGGUUUCCAAAGUCUUAACACUCAUAAUGUUUGCUAAGAUCCUCUGCAGAGUCAUUUUACCAGAAUAGAUUUUGAACCCUUCACCUAACCUCACAUACAGUCAAAGCCCAGGCGUCAUUUAUUCUGCUUUUCUGUCCUGUUGUCUCCUUCACUGCUACCAUGCCAUCAUGUUCAAGGUCAGUCUCAUUUAGGACUGGGAAAAAGGUUAAUGGAACAUGGGAUUGCCCACUGAAAAUCACUGCUUUUUGUUUGAUUUCAUGAUACUGAAUGUUCUAAAGGGGUGUUUUACUGUUCUGUCUCCAGUUUUCAGCAAGUUGUCUGGAAAAUGAGAUGUGCAAACAGGCUUUAGCAGUGUUCCAAAACAUCAGUGUCCAGAAAAUAAAAUCUGCAUACCUGCAUUAAAAGUGGCACAAAUUUCCAUACCAUAGUAGUUGGUAGAGUUGGGGCACUAAUGAUAACUUUUAUAUAUAUAAAUUAUCAAAUAGAAUUUCAUUAAAAAUAUUUUUCAAAAACCAUUUCUUGAUCUCAGCCAGUGGCAAACAGGAAGUUAAUUACUUGCUCCACCAGUCUCACUCCUUCCACCGUGCGACACUAAAAGAUGGGAACAUUUUCUUAAAUGUGAGUCCUAAAUAUAAAAGCAUUUUUUAAAAUCAUAUUUGUACCGGAUUCUUAAAUGUUAGUUGUGACAUGUUUGCCUUUUUGGCAAACACAAACAGGGUCAAGGGCAGAGCAAAAUAGUUAUAUUUUCUUUUCCAUCAUUAAAAGCAGAAGGAAAAAACUAAAAAAAAUCCUUCCAAACAUGUCUAUUUAAAAAAUAUAUUUGUAUUUAUUUUUUCUAAAAGUGGGAAAAAAAAUUUAAGAAUAAUAUAUUCCUUUUCAUAUCCAACAAGAUCAUUCAUUUACCUCUAUCCAUCUUUAAUUCAAAAUCACUGUUAACAUAUCAAAUUUUAAUUUUCCUCUGCUGAGAAGGAAAACCAUGAAGACUUACCAACUCACAAAGAUGGAAGGAAAAGACUCUGGCAAUAUAAAUUAUAUAAUUUUAAAAACGCUAAAUGAAUGGUUUUCUCGAAGAGAAAUCAAGAUUUAAUAGUCCUAUUCAUGCUGGGCAUUUCCACAUGUAUCAAAAAUUUAAGUCAUCCACUGAAAUACAUGCCAUAAAGAAUUGGACCAUCGACUAAUUUUCCAUUUAAACAAUCCAAAUUCAUCACCCAACAACCAGUGACCUUGAAUUGCCAAAAGUAAAUGGAUUUUGGAAGGGUGUAAUGGGGAUUUGAAGAUGAAGCAAUUGAGCACUUCAACGGUUGGGAAUAUGGGAAAUGGGGGUGGUGAUACGUACACAAUGGCUAAGGGCUUUUGAGGAGGUGGGAAGUGGUCAAAGGGCAUCUCUCAUCCACCAAAUCCUAGGCUGUCUCAUGUGUCGAAGACCUCCAAUCCUUGGUCUUUGAGGAACCUUUUGCAGGAGUGACCUUCACGAUCUCCCCACCUCUCUCCCUCUUUUUCUCUUUUAUUUUCAUGGGAUGGGAAGUUCGGAUUACCACAUGACCAUUUCCUAAAUUGUUUGAGCUUUUCCUAAACAAACCCAUCUCUCUCUUUCUUUCUCCGGGUGGCUUGGCUUUUCUUCUUAGAAGGGUUAUCUUGUGGGGUUCUUUCAUUUCCUUUGCCAUCUACCCCUCUGGGAUUCUUGAACCAUAGUUUAGUGUUUUUUUUUCCUUGGGGUUUCCCUUUGUGGUUGUCUUCAUUAGGGUCAGAGAGAGAUUCGUCCUAGUGGAUCCUUGUUUUUUAUUUUUUAUUUUUUACUUUUCCUUUUUGGGUUGUUUGUUGAGGAGUCUAGUCCUCCGUGCCAUUUGGGUUUUUGCUGUUUGAUUUGUGGUUGAUGUCUCUGGCUGUUGGGGUGGUUUCCAGUUCCAAAAGCAUGGGUUUUGACAACAAUGAGGGUGCAGCAAACACUGAUCUUUCAGAGACUAAGAGCACAGCAAAGACUCCUGCAGAUGAAGAGAGAGGUGAUGAACAUGGAGGGUGUGAGAAUUCUGUGGAUGCAACUGAGGAAGAGGAAGAGGAAGAUGAAGAGAGGAAGAUAGAGUUGGGUCCUCAGUUCACUCUCAAAGAACAACUUGAGAAAGAUAAGGUUUGUUUUUCUUAAUUAAAGCUGUUGAUUGAACUUGUUUUUGCUUUUGGUUUUAAUUCUUUGUAAUUUGCUUAUUUUUGUGGUGAUUUUUGAGGAUUAAGGAUGAUGAGAGCUUGAGGAGGUGGAAGGAACAGCUUCUUGGCAGUGUGGAUUUGAAUUCUGUUGGAGGUAAUGUUCUUCCUCUCCAUUUUUCCCCUUGAAUUCUGUUUGGUCGCUGAGAAAAACAGAGACAAAUUAAUAAAAAUGCGGUCUUUCAACUACCAUUUUGACCCCCUUUUUCCUCCAAGUUCCUGGUUGAAUCCAUCCAUUUCUGUGCUAUCAUACUUUCCACAUUAUUCUAUCCAGAAUCACUAGAAGGAAGACUUGAAAAUAGCAGAAGGGUAAAUUUGGAACAUCCUGUGGGGAAAGAAAAUUUGAAUUUUGACAUCUUUUGAAAUCUAUGUUGAUGCUGUCUGUUGUUAGACUGUUUUCCCAAGUAGAAGUCAUAAAAAUUAUUCCUGAUUAAUGUCUUGAAACAAAUUUUUUUGGGCGAAAAGUUCUGAAUUUUGGCACCUUUUUCCCACAUUUUCUAUUCAAUCAUCUGCUAUUACCUUUGGUGGGGUUUUAGCCCUUUUGGGCUCCUGAUGACAGUUUCACCAUUUUCUCUCCCACUUUUUGAAAUUAAAUCCUCUCCUCAAUUGGAUUAUUAACUAAUUACUGAAAUCUUGAGACGGGUCCUUCCCGUCUUCUUUCUUCGGUUAAUUCUUUGCCUCUGCAUGUCUUAUGGAAUAUUUUUGUGUUUUCUAAUGGAACAGUAGUUGCAGUAUGGCUGCUUUGUGUUAUGGAGUCUGGGAGAAUUUUAUUGAACCUCUUUUCCUUCAUAAUGUAGAAACUCUAGAACCAGAUGUUAAGAUCCUGGAACUUGCAAUAAAGUCCCCUGGUAGACCUGACAUUGUUCUUCCAAUCCCCGAAUCGGGAAAUCCUAAGGGCUUGUGGUUUACUUUGAAAGAAGGCAGUCGUUACAGCAUGAACUUCGCUUUCAAAGUCAGUAAUAACAUUGUAUCAGGCCUCAGAUGCACCAAUGUUGUUUGGAAAACAGGACUCAAGGGUAAUUUCUCUGUCUCCUCUCAAUUUUAAGUUAAAAGAAUUAGGCCAUAGACCCUUGGAGUGGAUGUUCUUCCUUAUGUGAGCUACUGUUUUAACAGUGGACAGCACAAAAGAGAUGCUUGGAACCUUCAGUCCUCAGCAGGAGACUUACACUCAUGAGAUGCCUGAAGAGACGACCCCAUCUGGGAUCUUUGCUAGAGGAACUUACUCAGCUAAAACCAAGGUAAGUUCGACUAAUUCCCUCGGUUUUCUCAGCCUUCAAUUUUUCUUCAUUACACCAAAUAAUUCUCCAGAACUGAAAAAAGAAAAAUUGGGAAUUGGUUUCUGAGUCCUACCUGUCUCACAAUAAAAGACUUUAAUUCGGUGGGAAGGGGUGGUUGGAUUUUGAGGCUGCAGUUCUUCAGAUAGGUGCUGGGCCACCCUCUUCCAUGACUAUAGAAAACAAAAAUACACAGAUUCAAGAAAUCCUGUCUGCCCGUAUUAAUUUUGUUUCUUGUCAUGUAAUGGCUUUUCCCCAUUGGAGCAAUCAAUUUGUUUGUUGGGCUGCCAUAAAAUCAAAAAUCAAAAUUGUAGGACAUCAACCUAGUACUCGAAAUAAGAUUUUAUCAAUCAAUCAUAAGAAUUUGCCUUAAAAUCAUGCAAGUACAGCAGUAAUGAUCUUGCUGAUUCCCUUGAUAUUUCUCUUCUUCUCUAUUCAGUUUCUUGAUGACGAUAACAAGUGCUACUUGGAGAUCAACUACAGCUUCGACAUCAGGAAAGAUUGGCAGUCAUGAGUUCUUACAUCUUCAGUGUCCUUGAUUUGCCUCAACUCUGAUUGUUUUGGAAAACCCACUUUAUAUGGUGUGCCCCAUAUCUAUCUCAUUCCAUUCUUGAGCAUUCAGUUCAAAGCCUGUCUCAUACCGGUUAUCUAAACAAUGGAGAAAGGAAAAGAAAAAAGUAGCUGUUAGAGAUAUUCAUUUAUUAGGCCUCUUUUAAUAAACUCGAGCUUGGCCUGUUUGUCAGAGCUCUCGCACUCUUGGUUCUCAGGAAAUCCAGGCUGAGGUGCAAGGAAGCUACUGGUUGUGUUUGUGUUGAGCUUUGUUUCUGUAGUUUGAACCUUUUUUUAAACGGGUUUCUAGAGAAGAUUGCUAGAAUUUGAAAGCAGAGCAGCGAAGGGUUUGGUGAAUAAUUGUCUGUCUUCCUUUUUGGCAUUCUUUCACUUCUCUCUCUACUGCACUUCUUUUCAUUUUUUAUCACUGCAUGUGCCCAGAUGCUUGCAUGUUUGGUCGUUUAUUCCAGUUUCAUGAUUCAGUACAGGCUUUGAUUGCUGAUUUCUGGUAGGAAAAGCACAGGCCUCUGAUGGGUUGUGUUCGAUCGAUUCUAAUUUUCAUGUAGGGAUGGGAAUUUUUGGGGUUUUUUUUAGCGGUCUUUGAGAGAAAUAUAGAAAAUUAGUGCGUUUUAUAAAUUUAAGCUUUCAUAUUUUUAUUUGAAAAAUAAAUUAAGGUGGAUUUUUAAAAGUAAAUUUAAGGUUUUUUUAUUUAAACGGUUGACAAAAUUGAUUAUGAAAAAUUAUAUUUUCAAGCCACUCAUUAAAAAGAUUUGUACAGAUGCGAGCGGAAUUUUCAAAUAAUUUCCAUGCAUUUUACUAAAUCCACCCACGUUUAUUUUUAUUUAUUUAUUUUUAACCUUUCAUAAAAGGUUUCUCAAAUCGUCAUAUUCUCAAAUGAAUAUUAAAAUCAUAUUAUUUGGUCAAAAAUAAAUAAUAUAAUUUUUAAAACUUUAAAAAUAUUCUUUUGAUGAAAAAUAAAUAAUAACAUAUUAAAAACAUAAUGAUAAAAAAUAUUUUAUUUAAAAUAAAUUAUAAAAAUUAGUACAAUCCAUUUUUUUAAAUAUGUAAAUAAAUUAAAAUAUGUUUGACAACGAUUUUAAGAAGUGUUUUCAAACAUUAUAACACUUUAAAAUUUAUAUUAUUUAAGUGUUGAAAAUGAUAAAAACGUUUUUUGAAAUUACCAUUAGAGCCCGUUUGGUAGUGAUUCUAGUGGAAGUGUUUUUAUUUGAAGUGUUUUCUGGUAUAGUGUUUCUCUGAAAAACACUUUUAUGAUAAUCAGAAAAAAUGAUUCUAAAGUGUUUUUGAUAAUAUAUUGUAUAAAUAUAAAAACACUUUUAAUAUUAAUAAAUUACCAAAAAGGACAUACAAUUUUAAUUAAAAAAAAUGGUAUGAUAAACAAAAAAACUUUUUAUUAAUGAAAAAACAUCUAAAUCACUAAAAAAAUAGCAUUGAAUAAAAGAUAAUUUUAAAAUUAAAACAAUAUAUGAUUACCUAUUAAUUUCUAAAAAAAAAAGACUUUUCUAAUUAAAAAUAAUAAUUUUUUUAUCACUAUACUAAAAUUUUAAAAAAUAUUUACAAAAAACAUUUAAAUCAAUUAAAAAAAAAAAGAACAUUGAAUAAAAGAUAAGUAUGAACGAAAGGGAAGAAAGAUAUUAGGAAUCAAUGGGGGCAUUUUUGGAAUAUUUCAAAAAAUUGAAGUGUUUUUUUUAAAAAAACACCUGUCAAGUGAUUCUUUAAAUCACUUCAAGUGUUUUUCCAGAUUUUCAAAAGUGUUUUUUAAAAUUUGUCAUACUUUAUUUUCAUCCCAAAAACACUUAAAAGUGUUUUUAAGGGUAGAAACACUUUUAAAAAUCAUUGUCAAACGGUAAACACACUCUAAAUGUGUUGUAUUGUAUAUAUGUAUUAGGAGAUGAUAAUGGAUCAACUUUUUGGAUAUUAAUGGGAUAAGUUUGAGAUAAAAUAUAAAUGUGUAAAAAAAUAGGUUUGAGAAAUUUUUUGUAACUUGACUUUAUCCUACAUUAAAUAUAUAUAAUCUUAGAAAAUUUUCAAUUUUCAUUUUUUUUAACAUAUAUAAAAUAUUAAUUUUUGUAAAAAUAAAUUAUAAAUAUUUAUAAUAUUUAUCAAUUUAAAAUAUAAAUAUUUAAUUGUUUACACAUAAAAAAUUUAUUGAUAAUGAUUUUGAUAACACGUGAUAAAAGCUUGAUUUUGAAAGAAUCAUUUAUUAAGUGAUAGUCCAAAAAUUAUUUAUAUGAUUAUCUAAAUUUUUAAAAGUAAUUUUCAAAUUUUUGUCAAACAACUAAUUUCUACAAGUACAAGAAUGUGUUUCUAGUUUAGAAAUCGGCCCACUUACAGCCCAAUAGUUCAAAAAUUGGGCCGGCCCAUGCUUAACCCAUUAUUACUCAACUAAACUCACCUUGGCCCAUCUUUCUUUACAGCAUCUGAUCGUCCGAUUCAUCUCUUCUCCAGACGCUGCGUUUAUUCACUUUUGUGUGCAUUCCAUCUCUCGCUAGUCGCUACACAAGAACAAUCAAUCAUCCCUUGUGGUCGAUCUCUGAGUUGAAGGUACUGUUUCAAUCUCUAUUCCCAAUCCCUUCGAUCGACUUUUACGUUAAAUACGACCGAAAUAAUGAGAAAAAUUUCACUAUCUAGGGUUCGAGGAUACAGAAAAUUGCACUUUACCUGAAACUCAUAAGACUCCUUGGCUUAGUUGAUCUGAGUUUUCAAAAUGUCGUUUUCUUUUCUUUUUCUUGGUAACCAGGGUCGGAUUUCACUGUGAGUGUUUCUAUAAGUUGGAUAUGCUGUUGCUGGAGGUUUUCAAUUCUAGGGUUUCUGUUUGAACAGGCGUGGAACCAUUGCCAGUUUGGAUUAGAGCUCGGACAGAAGUUUUUGUUAGAUUAACGGUCUUUGAUAUUUGGGAAUGUUUGGAUGCAGAGAAAAUAUGAAAAAAAAAAAGUAAUUAAAAUUCUGAAUAGUAAAAUCUUCACUAUCAAUGAUUUUAAUAACGGGGCCUUUUCCUUUUCCUCCCCCCACUUCUUCUUCCUUUUUUUUUUUUUUCCCCUGUUUGGGAAGCAAAAGAUGAGAAAUAGGGAAAAUAAUUGAAAUAAAAAAGUCUACAAACUCUUUGUACUUAUAUAUAUAUGGUAUAGAUUUAAUUUUUUUUAUCUUGUUUAGUUUUUAAGUAGAUGCUUCUCUGUUUGUUUGUAGCUCAUAAAUUCAUUCAAACUAUUUGAUGGACUGCAAGAAUCUUAAGUUUGUUUUGCUGGUUGGUAUGAUAUAGGAAUGUGAUUCAUCUAAAUUUAGGGUCAAAUAAUUUCUAUUCAUUUAUCCAAGCAUAGACUUGCAGGAAAAAGAAAAAAAAAAAAAACUUAUUCUCUAAAAAGGUUUGAUUUCUUUCAAUUUAUAAAUUGUUUUAUCCAAAGCUUUCUUUAAUUCAGUGCUUUUAAAAUUUCUUAGUUGAAUUUUUCGACAUAGAAGUGCUUGUAUUGGUGACUACAAAAUUGCUANNNNNNNNNNNNNNNNNNNNNNNNNNNNNNNNNNNNNNNNNNNGUAAAUGCAUUGCAGCAAUAAAAGUAUUAAUAAGGAGGAGAGAGAGAGAGAGAGAGAGAGAGAGAGAGAGAGAGGAGUGGAGGAAUCUUGGCAAAUUGACAUCCCAGCCACAUCACUGACAAAAAAGGGCCAUUGGGGAUGUCUAGUCUCUGAAUAAAGUAUUUUUAGGUGAAAGUUUGUAUAUAUAUUUAAAAUUACCAUUAUUAUAGUAAAUAAUUUUGUAUACAUUGAAAUUGAAAUGCCAUAUGGUGGAGGCCAUUUCCCAUAUCAGCUACCAACUAGCCUUUUUUAGUGGGUUUCGCUGUGUUUUGUGCAGUAGGGCAACUAGGUGACUACCAUCAUGCAUUCAUGUUGGCAUUUCAUUAUUUUUUGUUUCUUCUCUUUUAACCAUGUCCUCUCCAAGAUUUACCCCCCUUGCUUCACGGGAUCGCUUUGAAAUCUACAAAUUCCCUUCAUUUUUAAGUUUCAAUCGUACUCAUCAAAAGAAUUAUUAACGUACGCUUAAAAUAUAACUUAGACACCAUUACAAUAUAAUUUAUCCCACUUUAAAAUAUUACUUUAUUAUAAUAAUUUUCAAUAUAUCUAAGCUUGUAGAGAAGAUCGAUUUAUUAUCUUUAGAGUAACUUUUAUACGUUGAUUCGAUGAAAUUUCUUUCACGUUCAAUAACGGAAGGAUUGUCUUAUAAGACUUGUUUGAAAUCGUUUAUCUAAGACCAUCUCUUAAUAAUAUAAUUUUAACAAUUAAAAUUUUGAUUUUUAUUGUAUAUGUUAACCAAGAAUUAUUAGUAUGUCAAAUAUUUGAAUUUUUUUUUUUCUUUCAUCAAAUCAUUAUUACCCUAAUUCAAAGCUCUUGGACACUUUAGUGGUUGUACUGAAUGUUGAGAAAAGUUGUGUCCAAAGUGUAAUUGUAAAACACAAUGUUUAAGGUUUGAAGCAUUUGAAGAACGGACAGGAGGCAAAAGCCAAGGUGGGUGGGGUCCAGGGCGGUGCCGAAACGUGGGACCCAUACCAUCAAGGAUGAUCAUGAACCUAACCCAUGGGCCCACCAAAAAUUGAAAAUAAAAUAAAAAUUUUGCCGUGGCCAACUUUUCUUUCUUUGUUUCAACCACAAUGAGAGCUGCCUUUGGCCUUUGGAAACCGCCCUUUCUAAAGAUGAACCCUGUCGGGCCCCACCUGCUCGUACUUUCCAGGUAGGAUCCACGUGACUCCGGGCCCACAUGCAGCCGUCGGAUGUGCCACGUCGGAUUUGAGUCAUCGUUCUGAUCAUGUUCCAUUGUGCCAUAAAAGUGCCACCCACAUGUAUUCUCAUAUUUUAAUAGUGAAAAUAUUUUCAGCAUCAUUUUUUUAUGGGGUAAUUUAUUUUAUUCUCAUAACGUGCGAUAUAAAACUAAUUAUAUGAUUUAUAAAANNNNNNNNNNNNNNNNNNNNNNNNNNNNNNNNNNNNNNNNNNNNNNNNNNNNNNNNNNNNNNNNNNNNNNNNNNNNNNNNNNNNNNNNNNNNNNNNNNNNNNNNNNNNNNNNNNNNNNNNNNNNNNNNNNNNNNNNNNNNNNNNNNNNNNNNNNNNNNCGGAUCCAAGGACGAUGGUGGAGUUAGAGUGUGGAGAGUGUAGAUCUCAAUACAGAUUAACAUGAAAUUUUGGACGUAAGUGGGUAAAAGCCUCGACGUACGUGUCGUCAGUUGUGAAUAUGAUUCGUUGGAUUUGAGUACCAAUGUGGUGAUUCUCUAGAAAGUUGACUACAAAAUAAAAAGUUGAUGUAAAGUUUGGACGGUGGGGAGUGCAGGCCAGAGUGGACCCUAUUUCUCUUACAUGAUUUUGGAGGGUUACCGUUGGCGAAUAGGGACAUGGCACGGGUGCUGCUGGGCCUACGUCACCAUGGGUUACGGGCCUAUGGCCCUUGUGUUCGGUUGACGUGGUCGGCCCCACUGUCUGAGCUGCUGGGUUUGAUCUGCAAAGGGUUCCUGUGGGUGGCCCACCAACUGAAUCAUUUAAGGCUUGGUGAGGUGGACCAAUGGGCUUCGAGUUGUGUGGGGCCCAUGAGGUAAACGGCUAUACUAAACCGUCGGAAAAAAAAAUUUUGGUGGGUGAACGGUUUAAACAAAAGUGAAAAUUGUUUCCUUUCUAUUCUUUCAAUUUCUGAAAUUAAAAUACUGAAUGUAUUUUUACCUUUUUAUUUUAAUUUUUAAUGAAAUUUAAAUAUAUUUAAUCGAAUUAAAAUAAACCCAAAUCACCGUUCAUUUCAGGCUUACACCCAUCUUACGGUUGCAGCCAUCCUAAGGUUUAAAUCAUAUACCCUUUCUUAGGCUUAUUUCUAGCAUCAACAUUUAGGUAGACCAAUAAUUUAUUUGACUAGAAAAAGCAAUUUGAUAAAAACGUAGGAUAGUGAAAUCAUACUUACUAAUAUAAAAGGGACCAUUAGGAGGAUCCCACAAGAUCCAAUCUAAUCUUGAUGGAUUGACAGUGAGUAAAGCCAUGAAGAACAAUAGGGAAUACAUGCUUUGGAGGCAAUCAAUCAGUGGAAAAAGCCAUUAGCUUACAUUUGAAACUUGAUGUUUUAUCAGUGCUUACCUCCAAGCAUGCAUUUUAAGAAAAAGCAUACUAGCUUGCAAAGAUUAGAGUGACACCAACCUGAUUCGAGGAGGCAACGCUGGUCCAUCAACCUCUAUCCAUGGGAAGCUUGCUUUUCUUUUCCCAAGUCCAAAUCAUGACUGGUCGGCGAUCACUUUUUUUCUUCUUUCCCUCUUUUCCUUUUUCCAAUCCGAGUUAGCAGCUAACCUGGUCCCUUGUAAAAGAGAUGCCUGAGAGGUGGGCCUUUUGAGAGGCAAAUGUCAAUCACUGUUCUCAAAAGAAAGUUUCAGCAACCAUGGGAAUUAGAGGAUUUACAGAAUCUUUUUAGUACAGAAGCGCCCACCAAAACUUCAUGGGUUCCCAAUUUCACGCACUCCUCUAAGGGGUAAAGAGUGUGGUAUAAGCCAUAACCUGUCUAUCAUUCUGUAAUAAAAAUAUUAAAUAAAUCACCUACCCAAACCUUAAAAGAGGAUGAGGACUUCUAAUUCCUACUUUGAAUUAAUGAUAAUACAUAUCCAAGGACGGUUCACCAACAAGCCAAUGCUACAACAUGUGAAUAUGAGGAUAUUUGCAGGAUGGGGAUAUAAGGAUUAAGAGAUCAAGCAAUUUUCUGGAGAUAAAAUAGUUAUUAAAACUGGAAAAUGUUGAAAAUUUAUCUGAUACACAAAUUAACUGUGAGACUGCAAUUAAGGUGAAUACUAUAAAGGUGAUUUCACCAGUUUUCUAUGACAAAGAGUUGAAAGCUGGGAUGAAUAUGAUGAUAGCUGACUGGAAAGUUUCAGUUAAGCAGAAAACAUAAAGAGAACCAGGCGGUGCUUGAACCCUAUCUAUGGAGUAGCCAAUUCCAUGCAGCAAAAUAAAUUUCAGCUGACGAGUUUUCUCAACACUGCUUCAGCUCGCUGCUCGAAUUUGGGUAGGGCCCAUUCAUGCUGAACUAUGUCGAGACUGUCUUUCUCAGCACCCAAGCUCUGACAAGAAAAGUGGAAAAUUAUUAGGAUGGAAAUCAUUUUUCUGCUUUCAAGCCAUUCAUUAGUACUCUCUGAUAUCCUGUUUCAGUAAACAAAGGUGAAAAAGAAGUUUUGGGGGUUUUCCAAAGUUUAUUCUUAUUUCCAUUAUGAAUAAAAGAGAACCUUUGUGUUUUUUAGACCGUGAUUACAAUAGCUAAUGAACAGAAAACAUUCUCAUCUGAUUUCACUAAUUUAUUAUCAUGCAAAUGAGACCAAAGGUCAGAAAUAUUUAGACUUGAUUCCAUAAUUCCUUGUUUUUUUCAAUAAGCAACAACAUUUUUAUGCCACGGUCUUGGUUGGCAGGAAUAAGAUCAGAUUCAAUAAAAGGCAAAAAGAAACAAAAUUAGAUGACAAUAUUAGAUGAGCAAGGAAAUCAAUCAGGCAACCAUAGGAAAGCUUCUUAAGAUGCAUCAACCUCCUAAAGGGUGGGAGUUACAAACUUGUAAGCAUGCCAAACGCCCUAAGACAACAUUCUCAAAGUAAAAUGGAAGCAAAAUAACCAAGGAUGAGGAUGGUAAAUGUUAACAUGGAAAACCCCUUAAAGUGAAGGGAAAAAGCACAGAACAAGAAGCAUGACUGUACUGUGAAAUAUGCAAGUAAAGGGGCAUUAAUCCUUUCCAGUGCAGAUGAUAACCCCAACGGCUCAACCUAAUACAAUCUAGCUGUUACGGGUGAACCCCAAAAAGCAAUAGUGGUGAUUUUUUUUUUGAUAGGCACAAAAAGCAAUAGUGGUGAUAGAACCUCCAUAACCUAUUACCUAUCAACAAAACAAAAAGAACGCCAUAACCUGGCUCCAAGUCUUUAAUGAGUAGAACCCCUGUGACAUUAUCCUUUUUCCUUUUGAAAAAGGUCCCCUAAAAUGGAGGGUUAUUGGCUAACACUCUUAAUGAUGGUUUUUUAAGGCCAUCAUUGUAACAUAAACUGUUCAUGUGAUGAUGUUUGAUGCGGUAACAACUUUAUACUAGAAGAAUAUCAGAUGGCAUGAUGGGGUUUUUGUUGUCACUUCUAAAAGAGAAACAUCCUUUCAUAAACAUUAGCUUUGAUGUAAACUUGCUUUCAUCCCUUUUAGCCAUCGGUUGAGGCAUGAGAGAGAAUAAGCCUUGAUCUGCCAAGUAAUAACUGAAAUGGCAACCAUUGCCUAGCUCAAGUGACUCAUCAUUGCCUGCUUGCCCCACCACUGGCAGAUGGGCAACACAGGAUGAUUCCAUCUUUUUGGCAUUUGAGACACUUAUGAAUGCAGCACACAAUAACCAUAACCUUCAAGACAUCUGACUUUCAUUGUCAUGCCUAGGUGUGCAAGACAUGAAGCACCUAUGAUGUGACUUGAGCAGCAUCAAAGGGCACCACCCUCAUUUGACUGAGCUGUGAAUGCCAAUAAAUGUCACCUUGCAUGGAAGGGCAAGAAGGCAGUGCAGAAGACAGCUUCCUUGAUCUUAGAUUCUUAAUAUAGACUUGUAAGGACAUUAACAGAAGAACAUUCAGAGGCAAGGAAGCAUCUUCAUUGAAACUUGAAACAGAAACAAUGGAGGGUCAAUUGGCAUAGGCCUGAGAAAGCCAUUUUAUGUCAUUUCUAGAUAACUUGAAUUAUGUAGUGUAAUUUUUAGUACUUUGCUGUACCCCUUUUUUUUGUCUGCCUAUUUGUUGCAUAUACACCAAAUAUAACUGAGGUUACCACCUUUCCUUAAGUUGGUCUUGGUGGAUGGUCUUUACUUAUAAAAGAAAGGCUAACACAAGAUAAAUCCAAUUUAUCCAGUCAGUCAAAGAAUGCAUGUCAAUCUGCAACGCAGCAGCAUAAUAUGUCAUGGUCAUCCAAUGAACAAGACAUGUUAUCCAUACUCUUGAGCAGCCAUAUGGAGGGAAUGAAUAAAAGUUAUGAAGAAAAGUAAAAUUAUCCUUCUCUUUUCAGUGGAUGAAAAGUAUAACCCUCUCAUUUACAACUUAAUUGCUCUAUAAAUGUUGGAACGUAAUUGAAAAUUUAAAAAUGAGAUGGGGAAGGAUACAAAUCACUCUUCAUUCAAUUUUUUUCUGAUGGUUCUCGUCAAAUUUUUUAGGCAUUCUUUACAAAAAUGAGAACAUUUCAACAGAUACAGAACAGGAAAAAAAUAACAUCUUAGUAGACAAGCAGCGCCAGACUGUACGAUGAGUCUAAGUCAAAUGCGAAUGCUGGCAUUAAAUUUCCCUCUAACACAGAGUCCAAUCUUCAGUAGGGCUAUGCAUUACUCAUGAACAGAUAGAGCUGACCUAUCUCACCUACCUUGGCAUCUCCUUGUCCAUAGAGGGCCAAUCAGCCUAUAUUCUAGAAGCCUUGAUGAACCUAUGUUUCACAACCCGUAAUAACCUAACCAGUCAAAUGUUGAAUUCCUUUUACACUCAAUAGCAAAAGCCUUCCCUGAGCUCUAUCCCAAGCCAUUCCUUGAUAAAAUUUCAUCUAUCCCAUCAUUUUGGAAACUAAUAGCUCAUCUUUGUUGGAGGAGGUUCAACAGAAAAGUCACCUUAGAUCACUAGUUAACAUAUAGUACAUGGUAAUGUGAAAAGCUUUUCUUGAUUUAACACUAGGCAUGGCCUUGUUGUAAUGCCUUCUGAAACCAAAAGGGUAUAUGAGGUUUAUGUUCAUUUGGUUGGGUGUAAGAAUCCACAGCUGAUCAUGAACAAACAAAUGACAUCAGCUCCCCAGCAACACUAAACAAGCAUACUGUAAAAGGCCCAAUCUGGCUGGGAUCACAUAAGAGCUAGACACAUGAUUGAAAAAGCAUGGACCUUAUACUACUGUUUUUUUUUUUGAUAAGUAAACGCAGAAUAUAUUAACAGGAGGCAAAAGAGCCACAAAGCAUACAGGGAGUAUACGAGGCGAUUAAGGCCUCCCAACCAAAAAAGACCAAAACACACCAACCCCUAAAUGGAGGCUAACCACUCCAAGAAGCCUAUAAGGGAGAGCGGCUCCUCUCCAAUAUACAAUUUAGCCCAACCCCAUAAAUUACACACAAAAGAAGUUUUUAACUUUUGAAUUGCUAACACCCCCNNNNNNNNNNNNNNNNNNNNNNNNNNNNNNNNNNNNNNNNNNNNNNNNNNNNNNNNNNNNNNNNNNNNNNNNNNNNNNNNNNNNNNNNNNNNNNNNNNNNNNNNNNNNNNNNNNNNNNNNNNNNNNNNNNNNNNNNNNNNNNNNNNNNNNNNNNNNNNNNNNNNNNNNNNNNNNNNNNNNNNNNNNNNNNNNNNNNNNNNNNNNNNNNNNNNNNNNNNNNNNNNNNNNNNNNNNNNNNNNNNNNNNNNNNNNNNNNNNNNNNNNNNNNNNNNNNNNNNNNNNNNNNNNNNNNNNNNNNNNNNNNNNNNNNNNNNNNNNNNNNNNNNNNNNNNNNNNNNNNNNNNGGACUUUAUACUACUGUUGUUGGCAUGAAAGAAGCAGCACAUCGGUAAAAGGUGGUACCGAGGCAUCAAAGGCCCUUUUUUAAUUAAAAAACACAAGCAUUAGACAUCUAUUGUUUAUGGGUAUGUCGCAAAAGAAGGAGAUGAAACUUGACACUUGAUGCCAUGGUUGACAAAUGAGAACCUGUCAUGCCUCGGUGCCUAGGGAAUGAAAGCAGUCUAAACAUUCCAUAAUUUAAAACUAUGCAGCAUUUUCCAAUCUUACCCCUUUCCUUCACGGUGGGCAAUGGGAGAAGGAUUAAGUUUUGGAAAGACAAAUGGUGUGGUGAUGAGCUUUUGUGUGUCUUGUUCCCCUCCUUAUUUGCCCUAGCUAGCUGUAAAGAGGCUUGGGUGGCGGACUUGUGGAUGUAGUCUAAUAAGAAGGGUGUUUGGAUUCCUAAUUUCUCUAGACCUCUCAAUGACUAGGAUAUUGAGACUGUGGAGUGCUUUUUUUCAAGGCUUCAAGAUAAGGAGUGGAUGUGGAAGGGGAGGACAAGAUAUUUUGGGUGACAACAAAGAGUGAAUCCUUCUCCAUCAAGUCCCUCUAUUCUAUCCUUGAGGCAGGAAGGGUGGAGCCUUUUCCUUCAAGUGUAGUGCGGAAUGCAUGGGUUCCUCCAAAGGUGAGUUUUUUUGCUUGGGAGACUUCAUGUGGAAAAGUUUUGACUUUAGACCAACUACAAAGGAGGGGUUGGUCUUUAGCCAAAAGAUGCUCCCUUUGUUAUGCUCAUGAGGAGUCAAUUGAUCAUAUCCUCUUGCAUUGUGGAAAAGUGAGGGUGUUGUAGGAGCUCUUGUUCUCUGUUUUUAGGGUGUCUUAGGUGAUCCAUUCUACAGUAAGAGAGACCCUUUUAGGGUGGCAUGACUCUUUUGUUGGAAGAAAGUGGAAAAAAGUUUGGAGAGCAACGCUUUUAUGCCCUUUUUGGAUAAUAUAGAAAGAGAUAAAUAGAAGAUAUUUCGAGAAGUGGAGUUCUCUGUUCAAAUGCUGAAAUUCUUGUUUUUGUGCAGCUUGUCAUCUUGGUCUAAUUUGUUUAUAAAAAAUACAAUUAUGUCCUUAGACAAUUUUAUUGAUUGGUUGGUGUCGGAUUGAGGGAAUGAGCAUUUUUGUUUUCCCUAUCCCUUUUGGCACUCUUUGGCGGUCGUAUAUACUGUGUACUUUGGUACGCCCACGCCCCUUUUGGCGCUUUUUGACGACUGUUGUACACACCGUGUGUACUUUGGUGCGCCUCUUUUGGUUCUUUUAUAUUAAUACUAUUGCCAUUUACUUAUCAAAAAAUUUCCAAUCUACCCCUUGGAAGCUCCAUACAGGAAUCACAAAAUCCUUAGGGCAUAUUUCUAAAGGGAAAUAAUCCAAUCCUCAAGACAAGAAACCAAUGCUUUGAAUUCCUCACAGGUUAAGUGGCCACCCACUCCAAUCAAACCCCCAAAUAAAAACUAAAAAUAAAUAAAAUAAAAUAAUAAUAAUAAAUCCAUAGCUCAUACAAAUCACCUCCUACUACAAAAGAACACUUAAGACAUACACCAUCAGGGCACACAGGAAAACCUCAACUUAUCACAGACUAGUGUACAUAAUCCUAUAGGUUUUUUACCUUCUGCUUUUUAUUUUUAUUUUUAAAAAUUUAGGGUAUUUUCACAUACUUGUGCAGUGCUGUUUCAUAUAAAAUGAAAGAGAAUAAAUAGUGGCUGUUACUAUGUGACACCGAGUAACCACAGGGAAAAUAAUAUACCUUUGUAGGAUCAACGCCGAACCCACUCAUUUGCAUCAUACGCUGGGUAUCAUCUGUGGCUGUAUCAAAACAUCAUAUCAGCCUCUCAUGAAUUGAAAGAGGGUUUAUUAUUUUUUUCUUAAAAAAACAUAUAAAGUCUAAAGAGUACUUUGAAAAGGAGGAGAAAAGAGAGACAAAUCAAAUAGUUAUCACACAGUUGGCUAAAGCAUCAUCUUAGAGUUUAUAAACCAAUACAAACCAUUUUCUUCUCCCAGAAUGAGACUAAAUAAACCCCUUAAUCCGAACAGGUUGAGGAAGUACCUGAUAAAAGAUUACAGCAAAUUAGAAGACAUUCAGCCCAGUGUUCUAAAGGUUAAUAUCAAAUUCAAAGCAAAAGAUUUGAUAGGCUGGAAGUAAUAGCUUUCUUGUUCUUGAUAUUAAGCAAGUACCAUGAGCGACUGCUGACAUAGCUAACAUCUACAGUGCUCAAAUCAAUUCCAUUUUGUAACAUGGAGCGAAACCUCUGAGUCAAGGGGAAAGGUAUCUUGGCUGGGGAAAAAAAUAACAGAUUCAGAUUCUAAUAAUGUUGAUAUAAACUUGCCUAUCAAAAAAAUAAUGUUGAUAUAAACAAUUAUACGGAAAAGUGAAGAUCAAUACAGCAAAAGAAUAAAUAUAGGAAUAUUCAAGACUGAUAUUCCAAAAAUUGUUGUAUAUGCAAAAAUAAUGUCCUGAUUCUGGAAAGGAGCAAUUGAAAAAAAAAAAAAGGGAAAAAGGAACAAAUGGACUGAGUAUUGAUAGAAAUACACAAGAAAAAGUAAUAGAUUGAUAACAUAACAAGCAAUUUGAGCCUGACAAAAAUGAGCAAAUGAAGAGCAAUAAACAAAAAGCAUAAAGCCCCAUCUGAAGAAAACUCAAGGUUUGUCAAAUGGAUAAAUGAAACAACUCAGAAAGCCUGGACUUGAUAAAGAGGUAAAAAAAGAAAAACAGACCUGCUACAAAUCCAGAGAAGAAAAAGUUAACCCAAGCAAAAGUAAGAGUCUGUCCACAAGGGUAAAAAACAGUAAUUAAUGGUUAGUCAUCUGAUCUAUUACAUUAAAGAAUAGCAACAGAAAAACACCGACAGCAAUACCUGGGGUAUGAUCAUUGAAAGGUUCUUCUUCAUCAUAUCCAUAGCCAUGUUUGGAUCAGAGAACAUUUGUGCCUGAGCAUUUUGCGCCUGACCCUUAGGAACAUGCAGUAAUCCAUUUUCCUGCCAUGGUCAAGCAAAUGUGCAUAAAUGGCAUUAGAAUAACCCACAAGAGAAGGCACACUGCAAGCUAGCUUCAGUGUAUGCACUCCCUCAAAAGACCUGGCUUCUAUGAGUUAUUACAAUUGAGGCAGCCCAUAAAGCAAAGCCAGCCAAAAGAUACACUAAAAACAUGAAUUUAGAGUGAUACACAUUAGAUCCACAAAAGUAUGUUGACAUGGCUAUGAGAAAAGGAUGAAAUUUGUAUUUAGUUCGGGUUUAAUCAGCAACCGAUAUUUUGUGUAACAAUGUCAUCAGUUAAUGUCUCACACCACGUCCAUAAGGGCCUUCAUUUAUCCUUCUAGAUGCUUUCACCUUGAACUACACCAACGAGUUGCAGUCAAAGAAAAGGAAUAAUGCUCAUUUGGCAUGUCAAGAACCAAACCAGGUCUUGAAUGAGGAAGCACUCAAACCAUCUUGAUGAUUGCAGAUCCAUGGAUGUUGUUAUAACCUUAAUACCUAUGCUCAAGUUGGAUAGCAUAUAUGUAGUGGAGCAUCCAGACCCUGUUCACACCUGUAUAUUGAACAGAUGUAUGCAUGCAUGAACCCAGCUUGCUGGGUUGGACCCAUCACAACCAGAUGGGUUGGACCAAAACAUUUGCCACACCCAAUUUUCUAUAACCUUGUACUAGUGUUACAUCUUACACCCAUGAGUUCAUUCUUUUCCUAUUCAUUUUUUCUUGCCUUGCUACUCAUCAAUCUCAACGUUUCAUUCCAAUUACACUCACUUUAUGCACAUAUUGUUUCAUAACAGCUUAAUACUUUCCCACAAAAAACAGUUGGCCUUAUAAUUACCACAUAAUUUUCCGUUCAAAUUGGGAAGCAUGGAUUCAACCCACAACAUGCUAGGAGCAACUCUCCACUUCAUCCAUCCUGUUCUAGUUCUGUGAGUAAUGUCUGCUUUGUUAUGGUCAUUCUCAGAAGCACAUAUCUUCACUAGACACUCAUUCCUACUCAUAAUUUAUUAAUUUCAAAAUGUACAUCCUAGAGCUUCAUCUUCCGCAUCAAUCCUUGAAAGGUUUAGACUUCAUUUGGUUCCAAGAAAGAACCAAACUGAGGAUAAAAAAAAAAUUAACAGCUAAAACAGUAAGAGUAAGAAUAAGAACCAGACAACAGUUGGCGAUUCUUGCCAGAAAAGUUUGCAUAAACUAAACACAAAAGCAUGAAUCAAUGAAAAGAAAAUUUCAAAACGUUAGCUUUUGAUUUUCUUUUCUUUCCUUUUUCCUCCUAUAAUUAGUAAUGACCAUCCUGAUUCAGUAAUCAAAACCUAAACCUUUUCAUCAGUAUCACAUCAAUUUUCUAGUCAAAACCAUCAACAAAAAUUUUAUUAAUUUUUUUUUUAAAAAAAAUAAACGUACAGACACACAAACCUCGUUAUUGAAGUAAACUUUCCUAGCACGAAACGAUUUGGCCGGAAUGUAAUUCGCCGCCGCCCGCAAGUUUCGAGCCCUAACAAUCACCUGCCUGAAAUAAAUAAAAAAUCAAAUCAAAUCAGACACAUGAAAUCACAGGAAUAGAUUACGCUAACAUGCAGGAGCUAGGGUUUCUAACCCUUCUCUAACGAUUUUGGAAUCGGGCACUUGAGAGGAUCGCAUGAGCUUGGAGACGAAAUAGCGGAGCACCCCGAUGAGAACCAUCACCACCGACAGUGGUAUAAGCACCCAAUCUCUGAUGGCCGUGUCCAGCACCAGAUCUUCCGCCAUUGUUUCCACACACAGCUUCACCCCUCACACGAAUCGUCAAUAUUAGGCUUUUCCACUUCUAAACGACGCCGUUUCAUUGUAUUACGAACGACGUCGUUUCAAUAUUUAUUCAGCUUAUGAAUUAUCCAAACAGUCCCUAGUAGUUAUACACUAAAAAUUAAAACCAUAUUAAUUAUUUGUGAUUAAUAUUUAUAAUUUAUUAUCAAUUUUCUAUAUAGUUUUAAAAAUAAACCUGUUUGAUAUUGAAGCACGAAAAUCAAUUUACAUCUUUUUAAUAUUUAAAAUGCAUUAAAUAAUACUUUAAGUUUAAUAUAAUAUAAAAUAUAUUUUCAGAAAGUUAAAGGGUUAAUCAAAAGAAAACUAAGAGAAAGAGUAUUAGGCUUUAACCCUAAUUAGAUUGAUACAUAUUAUUGAUUAAUUAUCUAAUAAUUAAGCCUUUUAAUUUAUUGGUAACUUAACCCAAAACCUUAACCUAGACCACCAAUUUCACACUCCUAUAGAUAUUACUAAGGUUAUAAAUUUGACCAUGGCCCAUUUGAAAAUUUUAAGCUUGGCCGAGGUUGGAAUGAUUUUUUAACCCCAAACAUGUUAGAUCUCCCAAGAAAUUUAGAAUCUAUUUGAUAUUAAUUUUAGUAUACGUUUUUAACUUUUUUAAUACUUGAAAAAUAAAAACUUUCAUGCAUUAGAAAAGUUAAAAACACUCCGAAUGAUCACUAUAAAACAUAUGCUUAAUAUUUUGAAAUAUGUAGAGCACCAUCAUUAAAAGCAAGCUCUUUUCAUGUGUAUAAGUAAAAUAAUUAAAUUUUGGAUCUCAAGUUCGGAUUAAAAGUGCAAGUAAGAAAAAAAAAGAAAUUAAUUAAAUUAAUUCAUUUUUCAACAAUUGUGAAUUGAAAAUUUUUGAAAAUUAAUUAUAUCAGUUUAGUUUUUGUUUUCUUGUCUCCAAACUCAUAACAAUUGAACCAAAUCGAUAUUAAAAAACUUUCAUUUCUUAUAAUUUAUAAUUAUUUAUUUGAUGAUUUAUUUUAUAUUUACUAAUAUAUAUAUAUAUAUAUAUAUAUUUUGGUGACUCUAUUAAAAUCAUUCAUUAUUAUUAGACAAUUAUCGUAUUAAUAUUUAAAUACAUCCAUUAUAUUUUAAACUAGAAAUUUUAAAUAUAUUUUGAACUUCAAAUUCUAAGUAAAUUUUAAUUACUUUUAAAAACAAAUUGAAAUAAACGUAUAAAUCAAUUUGCAUCCAAUUGAUCAUAUAAACCAAACCAACCUUAAACAAACUUGAUUGGUUGGUUUUUCUAUCACUAAAAGAUGAAUUCAACUAAUUUUUUUUCCCCAAAAACCAACUGAACCGGGCCAUUUUACAAUCAACUCAAAAGACUAACAUGGGCCAAGCCAUAAAGGCAACCCGAGUCCAGCCCGAACCCAAACUAUGAGGCCGGACCACACAACCCCUUCACAAGCCUAGAUAUAAGUAUAGCAUAAUGGCCUAUAAAGCUUAUUGCAAAACACAAGUUAAGCAUCUUCAGCGCUACAAGCUUCUUCAUUUCUUCCUAAAAUGCAUUAAAAGUGGGUAACCCUUUAUACAGAUAAAUUGUCAUUAGUUCAAGUCCUCUCAGAGGUACUAGAGGUUUAUCUGAUCGUUAACUUUGAGACCCCGUGAGAGAUUAGUCGAGGUGCGCGUAAGCUGACUCGAACAUCCACAAUUAUAAAAAAAAAUAAAAAAUACAACAUUUAUACUGAUAAAUGGGACUAGGGUAAAAACAAUAUGAAAUGAAAAUAUGUACGUAUAUGACACACAAUGUCUUUUCAAUAAAUACCGAAAAAAUACACUUCUAUAUUACAGCAGGCCCAAUAAAGAAAAUACAGGGUCCCAAAGGUACUAGAUCCUUGGCUUGGUUCAUACCUGUGGUCGGUUGAUUCUUUUACAUGUUCUCUAAGUAUUCCCCCUGCAUUUUCUCCCACACAGCAUUCUGUUCCCUCUUAAUUUUUUUUUUACUGAAUUCCAAGCUCAUCUCAUCAACCCAAUCCUUCAAAAAUGGGCUUAAUCUCCUUCCCCACCAAUGUAUUCUGCCGCAGACCACUGUCGAUCUCUCCUCCAUUGCGAACCAAAUCAAGUUGUUCGUACAAUCCUUGGCUUAAUCUGAAGUCCAUUCUGAAGAGACAGCCUCAAAGAGCUCAAGUUUUCAAUGAUCCUCUUCUGCCAUUGUCGAACCAGGCUGUAGUUCAGAGGGGCUUGUCUUUAAGGCGCAAACGCUUACCGCCGGUAGUAUCGUGCAGUUCUGAAAGCACAGGGCCAAGGGAAGAAGAUAACAGAGCUCUGGAAGCUGUCCAGAAGCUUUACACUGCUAUUAAGAACAAAAAUGUGAAGGAAGUCUCAGAUGUAAUUGGAGAUGAAUGCCGAUGUUUCUGCAAUUUUAUCUCAGCUUCCCAACCCUUCCAUGGAAAAAAGGUAGGUGAUCAAUUUCCAGGGAUCAUCACCCAUGAUUUCUUUUNNNNNNNNNNNNNNNNNNNNNNNNNNNNNNNNNNNNNNNNNNNNNNNNNNNNNNNNNNNNNNNNNNNNNNNNNNNNNNNNNNNNNNNNNNNNNNNNNNNNNNNNNNNNNNNNNNNNNNNNNNNNNNNNNNNNNNNNNNNNNNNNNNNNNNNNNNNNNNNNNNNNNNNNNNNNNNNNNNNNNNNNNNNNNNNNNNNNNNGUUGGAGUUACAUGGAGACUAGGUAAUGAAAUUCUGUCAUUUCAUAUGACUGGAGUUGUUAGGAAUUGUUCUUAGUCUCCCACCUUAUGUUGGUUUUCUCUGCAGAAUGGAAAAACAAUCCGGUGCCUCUGGGAACUGGUUUCAGCUACUACGUGUGCCAAGAAUACCGAGGGAGGGUGGUGAUAAAGUAAGACAUGUAAUAGAAGAUGACAAUCUAGUAAUAGAUUCAAGGCAACGUAUAAAUCUAUUAAAAAGUGCUUCCAAAAUUCCAUGCAGUUAUCUCUCUAAUUGACAUUGAUUUUACAAUCACCCUCAUUUGACAACAUCUCCAUGUGUUUUAUGAGAUUUACUAGAUCUGAUAAAUAAACAUGCAUGAACUUUAGAACCAUCUUCAUGCUGACACUAGGUGUUAUUAGAUUUCGAGGUUGAUAAAUAAAAAUUGAUCGGUUAAAAGGAUGAAAUAAUCCUUUUAUUUGUGAAUUUAACCAUGUCUAUAUUAUUACUUAAAAAGGAUGAAAUAAUCAUUUUAUUUGUGAAUUUAACCAUGUCUAUAUUAUUACUUAAAAAAUAACUGAUUUUUGAUAUAUAUGCCCUUUGUCAUUUUAAGUAUUUAUAUGUAAUUUUAAAAACAAAUAUUAUUUUUACCAAAAAAAAAGGGGAUAUAUUUAUCAAAAUAAGAUCAAAAAAGAAUAGAAGGUUAAAUUUUCAAAUCUAGAUUUUCAAUGACCUCUCAUGAAAUAAAGACUCUUAUUUUUGGUCAGUUAAUCGAGAGUGUUAAUCAAAUGGGAGUUUAACUGUAUUUUAAACAAUGGUUUGGCGUAUAUUUAGAAACUGUAUCUUAAAAUUACAACUUUAGUAUAGAUUUAAAAACCACAUUUUGAAAUUAUUAUAUCUAAUUUGUAUAGGAGUCGUAUUUUCAAAAUGCAGUUUCUAACCAAUUUAAAGAAAAUGUUAGAAAAGGUUCAUAUAAACAAUAAUUUUAAAACAUAUCUAAAGUAAUUAGAGGACCAAUAUGAUUCCAAUGUGUUGAAAAUGAUAUGGAUCGUAUCAAAGCUUAACCCUAAAUUUGAUGGGAGGGUCUUUUUUCUCUUCUCAUGAGGGUAUCCAUGAUGGGAUAAAUGUAUGUAGGAUGAUUAUGAAAUAUUGAGUAGGAAAAGAAUAUCUGAUAUUAUAUAGUAGGCUCUAACUCCUUGUUUAAAAGCAUUUCAGCCUUAAACCUAGAUUGAAUAAUAUCUACUCAAGAAGAACGGGAUCACGAAAUUUCAUCUUCCUUUACUAGUCUCUUCAACAGAACUUUCUAUCAGACCAACCUAUAAUUUGUUAUCUCUGAACUGAAUCUUUGUUUCAAUGAUUCAGGAACGUUAAUAUGCUUAUGGACCCGCUGAUUCACCUUGGACCCCUCAGACUGGUAAGCCAUUUGAAAGUUUUUUCACUUCUUUGUGGGCUUUAAUGCAUAUGUUUUUCCCUUUUUCUGCAGAGAAUUGCGGGGAUAGUGACGCUCGUAAUGGACAAGUUUGAGCACUUAAACUUCGAGGGUAAGAGAAAGAAAGAUAUAUACAUGUUUCUCAUUCUUUCCUUCACCUUUGCCAUACUGUUCUUUCUAAUAACGGCUUCCCAUUAAGCCAUGGCAUAAGGUCCAGAGCAUAGUUCUCCCUCUUCCCUUCAAUAAAAUUCCUUUUGUAAUGGACAGUAAGCAUGAAAAUAUGAACUCCAAUGGAAAUUGCUGCUAUUUUAUUAUGCAUUACACACAUCAUUCUUCAUAAUUCCAGACAAAAUUGAGGCUAGAUUGCCUCUACAGAACUUAGCCUUUACUGAUGAUAAACCAGCAUACUUCUAGACAUGAGAAAGUAGAGCUGCAGCAAGUUGAUAUUGAAGUACUUCAAGGACCUGCAGAGCAAGAACUGAGAAAUGAGCAUUCUUGAUAUGAUAUGGUUAUCGUUCUUGAUAUGGUAGAUGCAAGGCUAGGAGGCUUACCGUCACAUUCGGGUGGUGGGUUGAGGCCACACUUCUUGGGCAAGGCCAUGGCGAGUCCAGGGUUGACGCCAAAGUUGGGGAGGGCAUGCUUGUAGCUGCACAAGCAGUGCAUAUCGGCCUUUUGGAUGACUGCACAACACUCUUUAGUAGGAGGGGAUGGUGAUGGGCCUCGAAUUGCAGGGAGGCACUGAGCCAGCUGGGUUGAGUCCAUGCUGCAUAUGGUCAUGGACUUGGCUCCACCCACCACUGCAACAAGCACUACCACUAUCACCCCCAGCACAAAACCAAUGUCAGUAGUCCUAGCCAUGGCUUCUCUCCAACCCAAGUCACAGAUGAGAAGUUUGUUUUACUUUAGAGCCAAUUUAUAGCGUUUUGGAGUAGGAAAUUGGAACUUGAAACUUGGUUUUUGUUGAGUCACGAGGGAUCAUAACCACAGGCUAUGGGAAUACAGCAAAAGAGCUGUCAUCCAAAAGAUGAUCAGUAUAGUGCAAAUAUNNNNNNNNNNNNNNNNNNNNNNNNNNNNNNNNNNNNNNNNNNNNNNNNNNNNNNNNNNNNNNNNNNNNNNNNNNNNNNNNNNNNNNNNNNNNNNNNNNNNNNNNNNNNNNNNNNNNNNNNNNNNNNNNNNNNNNNNNNNNNNNNNNNNNNNNNNNNNNNNNNNNNNNNNNNNNNNNNNNNNNNNNNGCCCCUUAGCCUCUGCCAUUGUUGGGGACUGCAAAGACUCAUCACGAGACUCUCAAACCAUUCCAUCUCUCCUUCAGUUUGUUUCUUGAUGCUCAUAAACUAAGAGCUUAUUUAGUAGUAAUCCUAGGAAGCAUUUCUAGUCUUUCUAGUGCCUAAAAACAGUUCUUUUGAUAAAAAAUUUUAAGCACUAGGAAUGUUAAAAAGACUUCCUAUAAUCACUACCAAAUGGACUCCAAGUUCCUAUCAUAAUUGAAUUAUGAUGCGAGAUGAGAUCCAAAAAUUCAAGUUUGAUAAUAACCCAUUAGUAAAUAGUAAAAAAAAAAAGUGAUAUGGAGUGUUCAAAUGUUACAAAUUCUAGUACUUACUAGAAAUUUUAUAACAUAGAACUGAAACUAUGAACUGUGCCAAAUUGAAAUUACAUAUUUGCUCCUGUCAAAUGAUCUUUACUCUUUUAGAAAAGAAAAAUAUCAAUAUAACCCCCGAGUCCCGAAUUUCUUCAUUUACAUCCAAUAUUGCCUACAACCAUACCCCCAUUUUCUUCCUCUAGUAGGUUUGAAUUGUCAAUCAAACUUCGAAGAUAUUUCCAUUAGGUGGGGCUUGUUAUAGACAGGCUAUGAGGAAGCCGUUUUGAAUCAAACUUUGAUCAAUUACGUUCAAACAUUGUAACAUUCAAACAAAAAAAAAAUCAUACAGAACAGAAAGCAACCCUGUGUUCAAGCAUAAUCCAUGUGAAUUUAGAAAACUCACUUGUCAUGGUAGUCCAAAAACCACUGAGAAAAUCAGAGUUUAAAAUUCAGAAACUUUUUUUGUUUUGAUUUGAACCAUUUCAAUAUUUCGUAUAUUCCCAUUUCAUGUCUAAAUUUAACAUUUAGUUUGACAAGAUUUCAGGAAAUUUCAUCCUGAUUCCAGCUGGGUCCAUGCUGAAAAACCAACUGCCUUCAUGUGCUAAUUGAAACAGAACAGCUCCUGGCAUGUAAUAUCAUAUAUUCAUCACUACCAGGAUGUUAGAGGUGUUAAACAUUCCAUUGUGGUUAGGCAUUGGCACGAGAAAGUGACCAAAGAUGACAGAGAAAAAACCCAAACCCAAGAUCAGGGCAUAAAGACAAGAUAUUCCCUACCACUAGCCCAAGUACAUUUUCAUUCUAAUUAGAAACAACCAAGUUUACACCUAAACAUGUUGAUGCACAAAAAAAAAGAGGAACAAAAGACUUCUUCAGUGUGUGUCAUACCAUCACAAGUAACCACAAUGCAACACCCCCCUCCACCUGCAAUAAAGUAAGAAGGUAGGAUUCUAUCAGAUUUUUUUUUUUCUCUUACCAUAUAUCAAUCCACAAGUAAAAGAAUUAGUACUUGACCAAGAGGGAAAAUCUAUAAAGACAUCAAAAAGUUGACACGAGAAAAAAUUACCUCAGACAAAUAUGGUUUCACAAUAAUAAAUGCAUGGAAGAAAUUCCUGAGGACAAACUCAAACUAAUUGUCUGAAAAGCCAAUGCCAGACUCAUUGAGUAAACUAAAUGUGCCUUAGCAGCAAACAAUUGGAUCUUUUGACUGGCCCAAGACUCAACAACUCAAAGUUUAUGAAAUAGAUAAUUGGGUUGUUGAAUCAGAAAAAAUACUAAUAAUAAUAAAGAAAGAAAAAUACACACACACACUAUAUGAUGAUGAUGCUAAAAACUUGCUGAUAUUGUUAAUUUUACACUUCCUUUUACUCAAUGAAAUGGUAACAAGGAGACAGCUGACUAGAACUUGAUCAUUUAGUUCAGGCAGUAUCAGACACUCAGGACCUCAGGCUGAAGCUUCAGAACUACAGCCUGAACUAACAGUGAUAAGAAAGUUACUAGUAUCUGAAUGUGAAAGAAGAUGGAGAUCCCAAGAGAAGUGAAGCUCCAACUAGCCCUCAAAACUGCAUUGAGUUUGAGAUUCAUGAACCCCUAAAUGCUUCAUCAGAUAAAAACACUCUAAUAUAAGCACCAUCAGAACCAAGCAGAGCAACUAUAAAGGAGAAUCCUAAUGUGAGUGAGGAAAGGAUGAAACAUGCUCCUCUCAAAAGUCAGCAAUUAAAUAGGAAACUAUAGCAGAUAUAUGGUCUAAAGGAAAGCCUAAAAGAAAUGAACUAAAAUUUUAGAGGGUUAAUACAUACCAGUCAACAUGACCAAACAUCAAGAUCGCUUGAACAAAUGAUGGCGUGCUAACAUCUCAGAUACCCCCAGUGCAGAAAUACUUUCACAUCCAAAGAGCUCCCGAAGCUUUGCAUCACAUAGUAUUGCCAUUGAAUUUAGAGGAUCCUAAAAGUGACAAACAAAACCACCUUAAAAGCCAAUGAACUUUUUUCACUAACUGGAAUUUCUAAAUAAAAAUAGGCUGCCACCCAAAAAAAUAAACAGAACAGUAGUAUGGUAAAAAUGAAAAAAAUUGUAAGUAUGAACAAUUUAUGGAAACAGAUGCAUAAAUGCUAAGAAUUGCUCAAUGAUGCAUGAAUCCUUUUCCUUAAAUAUGUACAGAACAAUGUGAUUCAACUAGAAAGGAGUUAACAGGGUGGAAUCUGAGGGGUCAUCAAGAACUGGAGAUUCAAAUUAUCACACAGCAACAAAUUGCCUGACACAGGAUGGACAACAAGAAAAAAGAUUAUUUUGAGCACGUAGACAUAAUGAUGCAUAGACAUGAAUGAUAAGGCCAAAUAUGGUAACAAAAUAUGAACUGCUUAUUUCAGCUUUCUUUGUAAAACAGCAUAGCAUAUGAUGAAAUAUCUACAGCAUGGACACCUCAUGACAAAGGCAGGCGAAUGAAGUGUAACUCUGAGACACAUCUUUUAAGGCCAUCUAAUGUAAUUUAGAAUAGACAUAGCAACGCUUCUAGCAAACCAUGCAAGAGUUAACUGCAAAAACCAAAAAAGCUACAAGUAACAGUUUGCUUUUCCUUACUAUUCAUUUUUCUUAUUAGUAAAUAACCUCUCCACAAGGGACAUGAGCUUUAUGAAAUGACAGGCUGGACAAUAGUGGAUGCAAAACAAUCAGACAUUUUACACUUUUGAAAAAGAAGCUGUAUAAGAAACUAUAAAUAGAGAGAAUAAUCAUGACAGAAAAAGAAACUUGAAAUCAAGUAAGAAAAGCACGACAUGUGCACCUUAUACCCACCUCUAAUUGGUUGACCUUUAUGUACUCCCAAACACGCCUUAGGGCCUCUUCUUGGAGCAUCUCCCUUUCUCCAGUACCAAAAAAUGUGGCAAGUGCAUCAGAUAUCAUUACAGGAGAUGGACUGGCUUCACUACUUUCAGUUGCAGACUCAACAUCCACCUUCAACCGUUUAGCUUGACUGGAUUCUCCUGCAAACAAAAACAACAAACAAAAGUCUUAAUCAAAGUCUUUAUUCUUAGGACCAAACCAUGUCAUAUGUUGUAACCAUUAACAUACUUGAAGGUUCAAGCGGAAUGAUAUGUUUAGCAAGCAACUUAUUCAUCUUGAACAUAUCAGUAGAAUCUGUCUCGAACACCAAGCGGAGGGCAUCAUCACAAAUUAUCUUUCGCUUGUUACUAGGAUCUUGGAGGUUGUUUUUCCUAAUGUAUGCCCAAAGCUGCUUCACAAUCUGAACCAAGCAAGGUGGAGUUCAAGGGUUACUUCAAGAUAUUCUAUAACUACUUCACAAAACCUGAUAAGUGAGCCUGAUAUAGAGAAAGUUCAUUUCUAUGAGAAUAAGAACCUGUGUCCUUGGCAUGGUUGGCUCGCCAACAACAGCCUGAAGUUCAGUUGAAACCCCACAGACUUUGUUUAGACCCCCCGAGCCGCCUCUUCUUUUGGGUGCAGCUGGAGCACUGCAAUUAAACCAUAAUACAGACACAUCAAAUUUUUACCCUUUUCUUGAAAAAUUAAAUGAAGGUUGCAGAUUCAUACAUAGAAAGAAAUGAGCAAUGCCAAAUUGUAAUGCAUAUAUAAUGUUGUAGUGAGACAAAAAAGCAAUCUUCAGCUAAAAGAACUUCUGUUAAACUUAGAAAUAAAUCUAUCUCUAGCAGAGGUAGAAAGUUAUUUGACAUGGUUUGGCCAUAAUCGGUGCACCACUGACAAGAAGCAGCAAAUUGCAAUAAUUUAACAUAAGUAUGAAUCUAGAUAAAUAGGAUAGCAGGCUCGGAUUUGUAUAGCCAAUGCUUUCUCCUUGACUACAAUUUAAAAUAAAAACUACGAAAAAAAAAAUGACAGUUUUAUUAUUAUUAUUAUUUUAUUUCAGUCCAUUUUUAAUUAACAAUCUGUAUUUAAAUUAGAACUAAUAAACAAGUUGGAUUUUAUUUAAUAUAAAUAAUUUAGAAUGGAUUCUUGGAAGUGUUUCCUAAUACUUGAGAUUUUUGAAGUGUUAGAAAGGUUAAACGCAAUUCCUAAAAUUUGCAACUGAAUUUUCAGAUCAGUAAUAAAUAUUCCAAAAAUUAGUAAAAAUAAAAUAAAAUAAAAUAAAAAUGGAACUAGGAAAAAAAAAAAAAACAACAACAGAAACCAAAGAGCGAAUUUGCCCGAUUUAAGACAAAUUCCAAAGCAACCCAUGUGCAUUUUGAACAGCUAGUACAGUUUUGGCUCGUGAAAACAAAAUAUUCUACCCGAAACCCUAAUUACGAAACCAAAGAAACCUCAACAAAAACUGGGUCGCCUUACACAAAACAUAAAAUUACAACCCUAACCAUGAAAUUGAACCAAACAAACCUAGAAUCAACAUUUUCGCCAAACCAAACAAAACCAACCCAACACAUUGGGGAAAAACAGACCUUUCUUUGGGCGCUUGGGCGGCGACACUAGCUGCAUUCUGCAGAAAGGCUUCACCUUUCGGCAGGUGAUGCGGCUGCGGCUGCGGCUGCGUCUGCGGCUGAUGCUGCUGAGGCUGGGGGAGGGGGUACAGGAAGUUGAGGUCUUCCGGCGGUGGGCGGUGGUGCUGAAGGGCAAAAUGGGAAGGGAUUUGGGGGUGGGGACUGAGGAAUUGGGGGUGUUGCUGGAGGGCAAAAUGGUCUUUUGGGGGAAGGGGCUGAGGGUGAGACCGGAGCAGGAAACUGAUCUGGU